ACACAUAGCAGCAGGGGAGAUACCGCCAUCACAGAGGUGGUUUUCCUAGUGGGAGGAACCCCUUAACAUUCUGGAUAUGGAGAAUCCCGCGAUUUCCUCAAAUGCAGGAAACUUGAAUACAUAAUUUGGGGCAGUGGGGGACUGCAUUCACAUUUUCCCCUA
ensembl:snRNA U1 U1 spliceosomal RNA